rnacentral:rRNA from 1 species
UACGAGGAGCCAAGCGUUGUUCGGAUUUACUGGGCGUAAAGGGCGCGUAGGCGGCAAUUCAAGUCAUCUGUGAAAUCUCCGGGCUUAACCCGGAACGGUCAGAUGAUACUGCUUUGCUAGAGUGCGGAAGGGGCAAUCGGAAUUCUCGGUGUAGCGGUGAAAUGCGUAGAUAUCGAGAGGAACACCUGAGGUGAAGACGGGUUGCUGGGCCGACACUGACGCUGACAGCGCGAAAGCCAGGGGAGCAAACGGG